GAAAUGCGAUAAGUAAUGCGAAUUGCAGAAUUCCGUGAGUCAUCGAAUCUUUGAACGCACAUUGCGCCCUUUGGUAUUCCGAAGGGCAUGCCUGUUCGAGCGUCAUUAUCAACCCUCAAGCCCGGCUUGUUUGUUGGACCCCGCACCGACCUUCAACCGUCGGUGGGUCCGAAAGAGAAUGGCAGAGUCGGCCGGACCCUGGAUGCAGCGAGCUUCAUUUUCAGCACGCAUCACGGCGGUCCUCCGGGCUCGGUCUUAACCGGGUCUCUCGAUCCACUUUUUAAUGGUUGACCUCGGAUCAGGUAGGGAUACCCGCUGAACUUAA
rnacentral:misc_RNA from 1 species